GGGGAAUCUUCCGCAAUGGACGAAAGUCUGACGGAGCAACGCCGCGUGAGUGAAGAAGGCCUUCGGGUUGUAAAGCUCUGUCUUUGGGGACGAACGUGCCUAUCAUAAAUAAUGAUAGGUAAUGACGGUACCUAAGGAGGAAGCCACGGCUAACUACGUGCCAGCAGCCGCGGUAAUACGUAGGUGGCAAGCGUUGUCCGGAAUUAUUGGGCGUAAAGCGCGCGCAGGCGGGAUAUCAAGUCUAUCUUAAAAGUUCGGGGCUCAACCCCGUGAUGGGAUGGAAACUGGUAUUCUUGAGUGUCGGAGAGGAAAGUGGAAUUCCCAGUGUAGCGGUGAAAUGCGUAGAUAUUGGGAGGAACACCAGUGGCGAAGGCGACUUUCUGGACGAUGUCUGACGCUGAGGCGCGAAAGCCAGGGGAGUGAACG
rnacentral:rRNA from 1 species